AUUGAACGCUGGCGGCAGGCCUAACACAUGCAAGUCGAACGAGUGGCGGACGGGUGAGUAAUGUCUGGGAAACUGCCCGAUGGAGGGGGAUAACUACUGGAAACGGUAGCUAAUACCGCAUACCAUCGGAUGUGCCCAGAUGGGAUUAGCUAGUGGGUGGGGUAACGGGUCACCUAGGCGACGAUCCCUAGCUGGUCUGAGAGGAUGACCAGCCACACUGGAACUGAGACACGGUCCAGUCUCCUACGGGAGGAAGCAGUUGGUAAUAUUGCACAAGGGGCGCAAGCCUGAUGCAGCCAUGCCGCGUGUAUGAAGAAGGCCGGCGGGGUGUAAAGUACUUUCAGCGAGGAGGCGUUACUCGCAGAUGAAGCACCGGCUAACUCCGUGCCAGCAGCCGCGGUAAUUC
rnacentral:rRNA from 1 species